UUUAGUGCUGCGGGCUGGGGACAUAGGUUUGGAUGGGGCUCCCAGGAGUUAAGGUUUUCUUCCCAUCUUUGACGUGCUGUGGGAUGGUGGAUUCCAUGUUACGAUCCUGUUGGCUGACUCCUCCCGUGGGAGACAAAUUCCUCUGAGCUGUGGCGCGUUCCCGAGGAUGACUGGGCUGUGGAGAAAUGCUUCGUUCUCUUCAGCAGACAGACUUGUUUUUCUCAAGCGUCGGGGGCGGGGUAGCACGGCAAUGACGUCGCUUUGCUCCGACUCUCCCUCCUUCCUCCCUGAGACUGAGGAGUCAUGAAACCUCGGUUAAACUGCGUGAAAACCCAAACAUCCCAGCCUGGGCCGGGAUGACCAGGAGCAGCGGGAGCAGCAGGAUGACCAGGAUGAACCUCAGCUCAUUUAUCCAUUCAGCUACCGAAGACGUAUUGGUUGCUUCCAGAUCUUGGCAAUGAUGAGAAAAGCUGCUGUGAGCAUCCGUGUGCAAGAAUUUGUGUGGACAUGUUUCCAGCUCAUUUGAAUAAAUACCAAGGAAUGGAGUUGAUUGCUGGAACACUUGGAGCAAGCCCAGCUGCCCCGAUGACAGCCCAGCCCAGACCUGCGACGGAGUCACAGUGUGCCAGCUGUCGGCAGGGCCCACGCAGCCCCGCAUGGCCUGGAGGCGGCCCUGGCUCUGGAGAAGGAGCUGCUCCCUCCGGACCCCUGCUCUCUCCCCUCAGCCCCCGCUGAUCAGACCACAACUGCUACCGGCCUUGGGAACAGGCUGGGGGUGGGCAUUCGGCCUGAGCCAGGCCAUCUGAGAGUCAUUCUUCCACCCUGGCUGGUGAACAAACCACUCUCCUGUCUCGGUCCUUGCCCUUCUCAGGACAGCGCAGUUUAAAGCGCUCUCUCGCAGGUGAGCACACGUGGCCUCACAGCCGCCCACACUGUGCUGCUGGAGCAGGCAGAAUGUCACUGUCCCCAUCUUAGAGACAUGGAGAUGGGCCCGGGAGGUGGCUGGACUUCCUCAGGUCACUGACCCCGUGUGGGACCGAGGCCUGGCAUCAGAUGGCGAGUGCUCGGCGUCUCCCCUUCCGCAGACCGCAUGGCUGUUGCCGCCAUCCUCCGCACCACCUCAGGGCACCCACGAUCACGGCGGGUGAUGGGGGCUCCCCUACUCGCUGUGCCAGGAAGGGCUGUGCAGACUGCCCGGGAGGGCCCAGAUCAAGCAGUGCUCCUGCUGCUCCACGCACGUCUUCCAGAAAAAAUAAAACCGUAGGAAACCCUGAGGCGAGCUAACAAUUCUUGUGCCCAUGUGCUUGCAGUGAAGGGCACUGAGGUCUGCCACUCACUCUGAAACGAGCGAGAGACGCUGGACAGACAGCUGGGUGGCGGGUGGAUGCACUGAGAGGAGACGUGUGCAACUGUGGACGGAAGCUUCUAGGCGGUGGGUUCACUGGGCCAUUCUGCCUGCUUUUCUCUGUAUUGGCAAUGUUCACAGAAAAACGUUGGUCACGGCGCCAUCGGGAGUUGUGCUCAGAGCCAUUUUUCUAGGAGCAGUGACAGGUUUUGCUGACUCAGGUGCAAUGGAGCAACAUCUGACAGGGCUAGCCAGCUGCACAGAUACAGCCUGUGGUGCUGGAAAGGCUCUUCUUUGUCUGAAGUCCCUGAUCUAAGCAAUUAUUCAACCUGAGACUGAUCGCUUCCUGCUUGAGUUCACACUGAACUCUGCUGACCCAGUUUCACCAAUCCUGAGUAGCCCUGUCCAUACCUCGUUCACUGGGUGUGCAAGGCUGCUGUGCACCCGGUGGCUGCUGCAGAUGUGCACUUGCUUCUGCAUUCCAGCCUGUGCUCUCUGCCAGGCUCCAGCUGCCCUCCCUCUCAGGGCAGGCCCCAGCCUUGCCUCACCCGAGGGAGACCUCCCUGCUGCCCACUGAAAGAGCUUUCUUUCUUCUCUGGGGCUCUCUCGCCUCCUUUUUGUUCGGGCUUUUAUUUUAAGUGUGUGGUGAGCUCCCCAGACCGUGGAGAUCAAAGCAGGAGGCCUGUGUCUUUGUUCUGAUAAUGUAUGUACAUGAGCAAGUUGGGUGAGGAGCCGUGGGGCUCAGCAUUCCUGUCACAGACACAGCAGUGCUGUGCUGAGGCUGAUGACCACCGUGGACACCCCUGUUCCCCAAGUUACUGCCUCAGUUUACCCGAGGCAAUUUGAUUUGGAGCAUUUUAAUUUGGCUCUGGGUUUACUUAUUUAGAAGGACCACAGACAGGUUUGCUGCUGUCUCUGGUUGAAAGUGGCAGAUUAAUCGUGUGUCUUUCUUGAUUUCCUCUGAAUCAUCACAAAAUCACAGUGAAUGGAUGCAGAAAGGUAUAAAUCCAGAGGGAUGUGGACAACAGCAGACCAGACUUGACAACAGAAUUUUGGAAAAUGGGUAGUAUGUGGCUUGGCAGAAUGGAUCAGCUGAGAACUAUGGGCCAGCGAGUGUGCACACGUGUGCAUGUGUGUGCGCGUAUGUGUGCGUGUGUGUGGUGGGUAAGGGGAUCAUAAAAAGGAAAUUUAAGGUUGUUGCAGGUCCUGUUGGUGCACAACCAACCCUUACUGACAGGCACAGAACAGCAUCCUCUGGGAUUCUGUGCCCAGGAACCCAGACAGGGCAGGGUGGGGCUGGCUUGUCGCUGCCCCUCUGCGUCUGGGCCUUAACUGGGGAGACCCAGGGUGUUGAUCGGAGCUCCUCACAGGGGGCAUGGGCUUCCACCCAGCACGGCGGCUGAGGUCUCAGAGGAGGGUUCCAGAGCCACCUGGCAGAGGCUGCUUGGCCUUCUGCGGCUCAGCCUCAGGAGCCCCACAGCCUGGCCUCUGCCAUACUCUGUUGAGGAAGUGGUCAUGAGCCCGCCCGGUUGAAGAGAAAGGUCCAUAGAUGCUCACCUCUCAAGGUGAGGGUACCGAGAACUUCGGAGCCACACCAAACCCCAGGGCACUUGGCGUCAGAGGUGCCACGUCGCUGAAGCGAGGGGGCCUACUCUUAGGAGGACUGACUCAGGGAGGCUCUGAGCCUGGAAACCCCAGCCAGAGCGAGGACGGAGAACUCAGACUGAAAACAGAUGAAUCAAGAAAAAUCUGCUUUCUGGGCAGUCAGCCGUUCCCGCUUUCCCCUCAGCUGCAUGCCGAUUGUGCUGUGUGGGCUGAAUGUAGGAGUUUUCUCCAGCGAGACUGACCAACCAGAGAAAAGACGGACAGGACCCACAUCUGGGGGUCGUGCAGGGACACAGUCAGGCACCCACCUGAUCAGCCGACAGGCAGACAAGCAGAUGACAAGCCCCACUCACCCACACUGAGCUUCCAGCCAGCCAACCGGGGCCUUAAGUAUGGGCAGGAUGUGCCCAGACCCCUGGGCAUCGGGGCCUCUGUCGGGCAUGACAGACACAAACGACAACGGACAGAAGGGGCUCAGGGAGAGGGGGACGGUGCAGAAAAGAAGGACACAUCCACGGAACAGUAAUGCGAUGGAGAAGGGG